AUUGAACGCUGGCGGCAGGCUUAACACAUGCAAGUCGAACGGAACCUUCGGGUUUAGUGGCGAACGGGUGAGUAAUACCUAGGAAUCUGCCUAUUAGUGGGGGAUAACGGCUCGAAAGGGUCGCUAAUACCGCAUACGUCCUACGGGAGAAAGAGGGGGAUCUUCGGACCUCUUGCUAAUAGAUGAGCCUAGGCCGGAUUAGCUAGUUGGUAGGGUAAAGGCCUACCAAGGCGACGAUCCGUAGCUGGUCUGAGAGGAUGAUCAGCCACACUGGAACUGAGACACGGUCCAGACUCCUACGGGAGGCAGCAGUGGGGAAUAUUGGACAAUGGGGGCAACCCUGAUCCAGCCAUGCCGCGUGUGUGAAGAAGGCCUCGGUUGUAAGACACUUAAGUACGAGGAGGAAGGUC
rnacentral:rRNA from 1 species